GCGGCCGCGGGGGCGCCAGCACCUUCGGCUCCGGCGGCGCUAUCCUGGGAGCCCGGAGGACCGCCGCUUUCACCACUCUCGGCCAUGGCUGUGGCGGCGGCGGUGACUCAGACUAUGGAAAUGAUGUUAGACAAAAAGCAAAUUCGAGCAAUUUUCUUAUUCAAGUUCAAAAUGGGUCAUAAAGCAGCAGAGACAACUCACAACAUCAACAACACAUUUGGCUCAGGAACUGCUAAUGAACGCACAGUGCAGUGGUGGUUCAAGAAGUUUCGCAAAGGAGAAGAGAGCCUUGAAGAUGAGGAGCAUAGUGGCCGGCCAUCAGAAGUUGACAGUGACCGAUUGAGAGCAAUCAUCGAUGCUGAUCCUCUUAUAACUACACCUGAAGUUGCCGAAGAACUCAACAUUGACCAUUCCACAGUCGUUCGGCAUUUGAAGCAAAUUGGAAAGGUGAAAAAGCUUGGUAAGUGGGUGCCUCGUGAACUA
rnacentral:antisense_RNA from 1 species